AGGAAUCUGCCUGGUAGUGGGGGACAACGUUUCGAAAGGAACGCUAAUACCGCAUACGUCCUACGGGAGAAAGCAGGGGACCUUCGGGCCUUGCGCUAUCAGAUGAGCCUAGGUCGGAUUAGCUAGUUGGUGGGGUAAUGGCUCACCAAGGCGACGAUCCCUAACUGGUCUGAGAGGAUGAUCAGUCACACUGGAACUGAGACACGGUCCAGACUCCUACGGGAGGCAGCAGUGGGGAAUAUUGGACAAUGGGCGAAAGCCUGAUCCAGCCAUGCCGCGUGUGUGAAGAAGGUCUUCGGAUUGUAAAGCACUUUAAGUUGGGAGGAAGGGCAGUAAGCGAAUACCUUGCUGUUUUGACGUUACCGACAGAAUAAGCACCGGCUAACUCUGUGCCAGCAGCCGCGGUAAUACAGAGGGUGCAAGCGUUAAUCGGAAUUACUGGGCGUAAAGCGCGCGUAGGUGGUUUGUUAAGUUGGAUGUGAAAGCCCCGGGCUCAACCUGGGAACUGCAUCCAAAACUGGCAAGCUAGAGUACAGUAGAGGGUGGUGGAAUUUCCUGU
rnacentral:rRNA from 1 species